rnacentral:tRNA from 2 species
GCGCCCAUCGUCUAUCGGCUAGGACACAAGGUUUUCAUCCUUGGAAGCGGAGUUCGAUUCUCCGUGGGCGCGCCA